GCUAGCGGCAGGCUUAAUACAUGCAAGUCGAACGGUAAGGUCUCUUCGGAGAUACACGAGUGGCGCACGGGUGAGUAACACGUACGCAACCUACCCCGAACUGGAGCAUAGCCCCGGGAAACUGGGAUUAAUACUCCAUAGUCUUCAAUGAUCGCAUGAGAAAUGAAGUAAAGUUCCGACGGUUCGGGAUGGGCGUGG
rnacentral:rRNA from 1 species